UUUGGUUAUAGGUGGGUGGUAGGUGAUGGGCUUAAGGUUAGAUUUUGGGAAGAUACCUGGUUUGGUACUUCUCCUUUAGGUGUCCAAUUCUCGGACCUUUAUGUUCUCUGUAUUGAGAAAGGCUAUGCAAUUCAAAAGGUUUGAGAUGGAUCUCACCUAAAGCUUAUAUGUAUUUAG
rnacentral:rRNA from 1 species